GCCAGGCUUGGUGGCACAUGCCUGUAGUCCCAGCUACUCGGGAGGCUGAGGUGGGAGGAUUGAUUGAGCCCAGGAGUUUGAGGCUGCAGUGAGCUAUGUUCGUGCCUCUGCACUCUAGCCUGGGCAACAGAGCAAGACCCUGUCUCAA
rfam:Homo sapiens chromosome 19, GRCh38 reference primary assembly.